CAGAGUUAUCCAACUCCCAAACCCAUGUGAACUUAUCUCUUUGUUGCCUCGGCGCAAGCUACCCGGGACCUCGCGCCCCGGGCGGCCCGCCGGCGGACAAACCAAAACUCUUGUUAUCUUAGUUGAUUAUCUGAGUGUCUUAUUUAAUAGUAC
rnacentral:misc_RNA from 1 species